UGCAGCAAUCUUCCCUAAGGGAGACACCCCGGCUGUAGGCUCACUUCCUCUCCCAAGUCCCAUUCCUUUCACAAGAGUCAAAUCCCUACAGUGGAUUCCUGGACCGUUUUUUCUAAAAGAAGAUCCCAGUCCUCUGGCUUGCCCCUCCCGUCGUGACUCCCAGAUCCCCAUCACAAGGAGGGGAGGGCUACCAUCCCAGCUGCAAACUCUCAUUCAAGGUUUAUGCUGCAGCCAGCAGUGUCCUUGGAGUCUAGUUCAAAGCUGAAGAGAGUGAACCAUGGAACUGGGAGCCAUUGGCGGAGAGGCUGGCCUGAAGGAAGGGAAGUGUUUCAGCCAGAAUGUACUGACGCACAACCAGGAAACCACAAGACUGAGUAACUACCAGUUGCCAUGAAAUAAAUCACAUCAUCAUAUGGCAGAUCCAGCUAAUAGCUGAGACUGGCAGGAUAACUGAACCGUGUACUCAGAGCUAAAUGAUGGAGAAAUUGGACUGGCCAUGGAGCACUUCAAAUUGAUUGCUUAGUAAUGGGAUAUUUUUCCUGGAAAGACAACAGAAUACUUCUGAAUUGUUGGUUCUGUCAUGGGUACAGGCUCCCAUGUACAGGAAAAUAAAGAAAGUGUGAUGAAUUUUUCA